rnacentral:rRNA from 1 species
GAUGAACGCUGGCGGCGCGCCUAACACAUGCAAGUCGAACGGGAAGCGGGGCCUCCGGGCCCCGCCGAGAGUGGCGAACGGCUGAGUAACACGUGGGCAACCUGCCCCCUCCACCGGGACAGCCUCGGGAAACCGUGGGUAAUACCGGAUACUCCGGGACGGCCGCAUGGCCGGCCCGGGAAAGCCCAGACGGGAGGGGAUGGGCCCGCGGCCUGUUAGCUAGUCGGCGGGGUAACGGCCCACCGAGGCGAUUAUGGGUAGCCGGGUUGAGAGACCGACCGGCCAGAUUGGGACUGAGACACGGCCCAG